UACGUAGGGUGCAAGCGUUAUUCGGAAUUACUGGGCGUAAAGCGCGCGUAGGCGGUUUUGUAAGUCCGUUGUGAAAUCCCCGGGCUUAACCUGGGAAUGGCAUUGGUGACUGUACGGCUAGAGUGUGUCAGAGGGGGGUAGAAUUCCACGUGUAGCAGUGAAAUGCGUAGAGAUGUGGAGGAAUACCGAUGGCGAAGGCAGCCCCCUGGGAUAACACUGACGCUCAUGCGCGAAAGCGUGGGGAGCAAACAGG
rnacentral:rRNA from 1 species